UGGGGAAUAUUGGACAAUGGGGGCAACCCUGAUCCAGCAAUACCGCGUGUGUGAAGAAGGCCUUAGGGUUGUAAAGCACUUUAGGUAGGGAAGAAGGUUAUUAGUUUAAGAGAUGAAUAACUUGACGGUACCUGCAGAAUAAGCACCGGCUAACUCUGUGCCAGCAGCCGCGGUAAUACAGAGGGUGCAAGCGUUAAUCGGAUUUACUGGGCGUAAAGGGCGCGUAGGUGGUUACGUAAGUGAGAUGUGAAAUCCCCGGGCUUAACCUGGGAACUGCAUCUUAUACUGCGUAGCUUGAGUGCAAUAGAGGGUAGUGGAAUUUCCGGUGUAGCGGUGAAAUGCGUAGAUAUCGGAAGGAACACCAGUGGCGAAGGCGGCUACCUGGAUUGACACUGACACUGAGGCGCGAAAGCGUGGGGAGCAAACAGG
rnacentral:rRNA from 1 species